rnacentral:lncRNA from 1 species
GGUAUGAUUACACUUUCUUUUGUGAAUCAAUUCCAGAUGUGCCAUUAGAUUCUUUGAAUGCUGAAGGAACAAAAUAUCAGUGCUAGAGAACCCAUACUGGUAAUCUAGUUGAAUUUUCUCCUUUUACAGAGGAAGAAACUGAGACCUAGAAAGACAGAUUUCCUGCACAAGUCAUACAGUUUGCUGCUGUUGUUGUUAAUAGCAGCUUCUCAUCUUGUAACUACAAAGUAGCUGCUUUAACGCCAUAGUACUUAUUAACAUUCUCUCAUUAUUGUUAAUAAAAUCUUCAUUUCUGAACACAGCAGGGCAGAGAAAGAGAACAGCAUAAGGCAAUGGCCACAUUCAUGCCAUAGAAUACAUGUCAUGCAUAUACAACCAUUUAAGCAUUCAGAAUGCCCAAGGAGAAAUUGAAUAUCUGGAAUUAGGUUUUAAAAAGAUGUGGAAGGGGGCUGA